rnacentral:rRNA from 1 species
UAGGGAAUCUUCCACAAUGGGCGCAGCCUGAUGGAGCAACACCGCGUGAGUGAAGAAGGGUUUCGGCUCGUAAAGCUCUGUUGUUAAAGAGGAACACGUAUGAGAGUAACUGUUCAUACGUUGACGGUAUUUAACCAGAAAGUCACGGCUAACUACGUGCCAG